GACGAACGCUGGCGGCGUGCUUAACACAUGCAAGUCGAACGGAAAGGCCCUGCUUUUGUGGGAUGCUCGAGUGGCGAACGGGGGAGUAACACGUGAGUAACCUGCCCUUGACUUUGGGAUAACUUCAGGAAACUGGGGCUAAUACCGGAUAGGAGCUCCUGCUGCAUGGUGGGGGUUGGAAAGUUUCGGCGGUUGGGGAUGGACUCGCGGCUUAUCAGCUUGUUGGUGGGGUAGUGGCUUACCAAGGCUUUGACGGGUAGCCGGCCUGAGAGGGUGACCGGCCACAUUGGGACUGAGAUACGGGCCGGACUGCUACGGGAGGCAGCAGUGGGGAAUAUUGCACAAUGGGCGGGAGCCUGAUGCAGCAACGCCGCGUGCGGGAUGACGGCCUUCGGGUUAUAAACCGCUUUCGCCUGUGACGAAGAGUGAGUGACGGUAAUGGGUAAAGAAGCACCGGCUAACUACGUG
rnacentral:rRNA from 1 species